rnacentral:rRNA from 1 species
CCUACGGGGGGCUGCAGUGGGGAAUAUUGGACAAUGGGGGCAACCCUGAUCCAGCCAUGCCGCGUGUGUGAAGAAGGCCCUCGGGUUGUAAAGCACUUUCAGUGAGGAAGAACGCCUGGUGGUUAAUACCCAUCAGGAAAGACAUCACUCACAGAAGAAGCACCGGCUAACUCCGUGCCAGCAGCCGCGGUAAUACGGAGGGUGCGAGCGUUAAUCGGAAUUACUGGGCGUAAAGCGCGCGUAGGUGGCUUGAUAAGCCGGUUGUGAAAGCCCCGGGCUCAACCUGGGAACGGCAUCCGGAACUGUCAAGCUAGAGUGCAGGAGAGGAAGGUAGAAUUCCAGGUGUAGCGGUGAAAUGCGUAGAGAUCGGGAGGAAUACCAGUGGCGAAGGCGGCCUUCUGGACUGACACUGACACUGAGGUGCGAAAGCGUGGGUAGCAAACAGGAUUAGAUACCCUGGUAGUC